UCAACCCCACCUCCCACCCCCGAUACCCACUCCCACAUCCCACAGCCCACAGCCGCCACGGCCCUCGCCGCCGGCGCGCGUCCCACAACCACCAUCUCCCAUGGGCGCCAAGGUCCCUACCACAGGCGCGCGUGCCACCGCUGCCACAUCCCACAGGAGCCAUGGUCCCUACCGCCGGCGCGCGCGCCACCGCCACCACCUCCUGCAGGCGCCAUGGUCCAUGCCGCCGGCACGCGUGCCACCGCCACCACCUCCCACAGCCGCCGCGGCCCCCGCCGCCGGUGUGCGCCCUGCCAUCUCCACCUCCCAGAGCCUCCAUGGCCCUGUCGCCGGGGAGCGCCCCGCCACAACCACUGCCGUUGGACGCCGUCGCCGUGCCCCCCGCACGCCAGUGGCUCCGAGACCUCGUCGGACAUGACCGUGGCAUCCCUGAACUGCCAAGCGCCGCCCAACACCCGGCUUCUUCCCAUGACCACUGUCGGCCUCCUACCCCGGGCAAACCCCUUCUCUUCCUUCCGGGCGCAACCAUGAUCUCCUUUUUAGUUCAAAAUGAGCUCUAGACGCUGUCCAAGUCGAUUCCCAUUGGUGGGACAAGUCCGACUACCUGUGGUACACGACCUAGAGAUUGACCAGAGCGAGCAAUUCCUCUAGUCUGGCCAGUGGCUGCAGCUCACCAUCAACUCCGCCGAGCACUUGCUGUAGGUGUUCGUCAACUGCCAAUCCUUCGGUAUCAUCUGAAACUCUCAAUCUUUUGUCUUAACUGCUGAAUGUUAUCCUACCACUUACUGAUGAGCAUCGAAUCCUUUUGUCCAUGUCCAUCUUAUCAUCGUGGUGGUGGUUGAGUACAUCUCUGUAAGUUUUGUAUGUUCAAAGACCGGAAAAUAGUAAGUUUAGACAAAAUUUAAACUAUCAAAACAUGAGUUUUUGUAUAGUUUAGAACAUUGGACCGUGGCUACCCAUUUAAGUAAUCACAAGACCAUCACGGAUGACAACAGGCCUACAACAGCUAUGGUUUUAGUCAAAGUGUUUAAGAAACGUGCAGUACUACUCUGUAUCCUUCGCUCUUUGUCAAAGGGAGGUAACUAAAUUAAAGCUCCAGAUUGCAAUUUUGACUAGACUAUCCGGAUUUCAUUUAGUGUUUAAAAUUAAAUAAUUUCUUGUCUAGUCAUAGUUGUACUGAUGAAUAUCAAGUAGGCGUUGUGCUCGGCCAUAGGCCUGCCUUUUCUCCCUCCCUUUGGUUCGAGGAGUAACAACUACUGGACUGCAGUGCCGCCAUCUAUAGACAGGGGAGAUGGUAGGUGCGGAACCUCCCUAGCGUAAUGGCAGCCACCUCUAUCCAAGUUGAGCACUGGGCGCCAUCCGAGUAGAGCACUUCGCCCCUUCCAAGUUCCCAUCUAAUGUUGAACAUUCAAUUUUGUCAUGCUGAAUAAUAUACUACUAAGUGUUGUUGACAGGAAGUUACUUCUUUCUUUGAUGCUACACAUGUGAGCUGGAAACUGUAGAAAUGAGAAUUUAGUAUGUUUUGGAGAACUUGAUUUCCCAAGUGGAAACUUUGAUCUAUACCAGUAAGUACAUGAUUAAUAUUUUAGGAUAUGUGUGGUUCCAGUAAGUACAUGAGUACUAAUUAGCAUGUUUGAUUGCUUCUGAAUAAUGAAAAUGUGCGUGUAGUGAUGUAUUUCAAAAAUUGUGAUGUGUGUUCUCAGGAAAAAAACAUUUUCGGGUUGUUGGUGCCGCUGGAUAACUAUCAUAGUUUGUCGCCGGCAAAGUCCUUGAACUUGGCCUACACCAGUAGUAGAACUUACUGGUUCUUCGUGACCUAAAAUUGAAAACAGACGAAAAAAUUCUCAAGUAAUGUAAUCUGUAGCAAAACACACGAUUUUUUUAUCGAAAUGUUGUAACUAGAGGACUAUAACCACGGUUUUGCGCAUAUGCUAAUAUAGUCCACUCCAAACAAAUUAGUGUUUGUUGAGGCAAUUCACUGAUAAUAGAGAUACACCAUUCCUACUGUGCAUGUUAGUUGUUCGUUAGAAUGUACACUAAUUAUUGUUUCAAGAAUUGAAGUUUUAGCAAGAAUUUGAUGUUUGUUAGGCUACUUGAAUGGGAGUCAUUUGUGCUUUUUAAUAUAAUCUGUAGUUUAAUAGCACAUCAUGCAUUUUAAAUAUAUUGUCAUAUAUUUUAUUGUAAUUCAAUGUAUGUCACUGAACUACAAAAAAAUACAACAGUUAAAUAUAUUACUACACGUAGUACAUCAGUUCAAUGACAGAAAAACAUCGGCUAAAAAAUAUAUGCAAGAGGUUGAGAGAGAAAAAAAAUAUUUUUUUUGUUGUGUCCAAUUUUUAGCGACAAAGUGAAAGGAAUUUGUCUAUGUCUAUCUUGCUUUUGGGGAAGAUCGGGAAGCGAGGCACCUCCCGGACGUCACCGUCAAAGAGCCUCUCUCCACCACCACGCCUGAUAGUUGAACUUACACGGGAUUACCUGUGAUCAACCGCCCCGCCUCUACAAGCAGGCCCAUCGUGCGCCCCUGGAAUCAGUGCGGAUUGGAGAAGGAGAACCAUCCAAAGUGCAAGUUCUGUGACGUCAUCAUUCGCCCAAGUACUUGCAUCAGCUUGUUGGAAUUGGUAUGUGUGCUUGUAACACAAUCAGUUCAGAUCUCGAGAGACCAUAAGUUUGUUGACAAAUAUGUAUAUUAGUUCAUAUCUCAAGAGUCCAUAAUUUUGUAAGGCCAGAAAAUGCAAUGUCUUAGUACAUCACAGCAGCUCUCCGAUGCAGAAAGGAUGUCUCUUCUCAAGUCAGCAGCUAACCAAACUGGCAACUUCAGGGUAGCUCAGUCAAUAUAGGAGUUGUGCAGUAAACAGCUUCAGUCGAGAAAUCAGCAAGUUCUAUUCAUAGUGUCUUCUAGGCACCAGUUUGUUGUUUCCUAAUCACCCUAAUUCCAAAAGUAUUCUACUCAACUUCAGCGCCGUGCUCAGUGCAACCACAUGGCUUCAGGGUGCCCGAGUUCGUCGUGACCAUCAGUUCGGAGACUCUGCCACUGCGUGUGUCGCGACCAUGGCCACCUGCGUCACUGCGUGCUCCAUCAACAGCCUCCCGCGCAAGGAAAAGCAACAGGAGUAAAGCCGUCUGAGAUGCUCUGUUAUAGUGAGGCGGCUUAUUAUGUUUGUCAGUUUGUAAUACUUUGGCCGCAAUGUACUUGUGUAUCUUUUUCUCAACGGAGCACGACCAGUGAUUAUGUCAUUAUGAACUUUGAUUGUGAUGGUCCUACAAACUCUAUAAAAACACCACUAAUCCAUUUUUACUGUUA